rnacentral:rRNA from 1 species
CGUAGGGGCGAGCGUUGUCCGGAAUGAUUGGGCGUAAAGGGCGCGUAGGCGGCCUGUCAAGUCAGUAGUGGAAGUCCAUCUUUCAAGGAUGGAAGUGCUACAGAAACUGAUGGGCUUGAGUGCAGGAGAGGUUAUCGGAAUUCCCGGUGUAGCGGUGAAAUGCGUAGAGAUCGGGAGGAACACCAGUGGCGAAGGCGGGUAACUGGACUGCAACUGACGCUGAGGCGCGAAAGUGUGGGGAGCAAACAGGAUUAGAUACCCU